CCUACGGGGUGCAGCAGUGAGGAAUAUUGGUCAAUGGGCGCGACUCUGAACCAGCCAAGUCGCGUGAAGGAUGAAGGCGCUAUGCGUUGUAAACUUCUUUUGUGCGGGAAUAAACGGCGUCACGCGUGGCGUUUUGAGGGUACCCGAUGAAUAAGCAUCGGCUAAUUCCGUGCCAGCAGCCGCGGUAAUACGGAGGGUCCGAGCGUUAUCCGGAUUUAUUGGGUUUAAAGGGAGCGAAGGCGGUCCGUAAAGCCGGCGGUAAAAGCCCGGGGCUCAACCCUGGCCAGCCGUUGGAACUGGCGGGCUUGAGUGGGCGGGAGGUACGCGGAAUGCGUGGUGGAGCGGUGAAAUGCUUAGAUAUCGCGCAGAACUCCGAUUGCGAAGGCAGCGUACCGGAGCCGUACUGACGCUGAGGCACGAAGGCGCGGGUAUCGAACAGGAUUAGAUACCCUGGUAGUC
rnacentral:rRNA from 1 species